AGAGAGAAAGGCGAAGGGCCUUCCUGAGUAUGGAAAACAAGUUGAGGGCAGUCGAGUGGUUGGGGAUCCAGCUCGUGCUGCUGCUCGUCCAUUAAACAACGGUUGGGCUGGUGGAAGGCUAAAUUCUACUAUUGCUGGUGAAGAAAAUUUUGUCUUAAGCUCGAACCGUGUUCUAAGAUAAAAACGAACUAAUGAACACGUCUCCGAACUAGUGUCUCAACUUAUUUUAUCAUUUCAUUUUUACCGGUCAGAUGAUCAUGAAACUACUGCUUUUAAAGUUUGUUAAAUUGUAGAAGCGAACUAAUGAACACGUCUUCCAACUGGUGUCUCAACUUAUGUUAGCAUUUCAAUUUUACCGGUAAGAUGAUCAUGAAACUAGUGCAUUUAAAGUUUGUUAAAUUGUACAAUAUAAAUAUCUAUAAUAUUUGAUCUGUAUACGUAUCUCCUAUUCUUUAUGUAUUCUUGUGGACAAGAAAAAUAGUGCGGUUUUAUAAUUUGAUUAAAACUAGAGCAAUGUUUCCUGGUUGAGAUUCGAGUCUCGAGCUUCUUAAGAAACACCAUAGUAUGUGCUAUUUGCAUACAAUAUUAUGUUAAUUAUGAGGGUAAUUAC
rnacentral:lncRNA from 1 species